GACGAACGCUGGCGGCGUGCUUAACACAUGCAAGUCGAGCGGUAAGGCCCUUUCGGGGGUACACGAGCGGCGAACGGGUGAGUAACACGUGGGUGACCUGCCCUCAGCUCUGGGAUAACGCCCGGGAAACGUGGGUCUAAUACCGGAUAUGACUUCAUGACGCAUGUUGUAGGAGUGGAAAGCCUUGUGCGGCUGAGGAGUGGGCCCGCGGCCUAUCAGCUUGUUGGUGGGGUGANGGCCUACCAAGGCGACGACGGGUAGCCGGCCUGAGAGGGCGACCGG
rnacentral:rRNA from 1 species